AUGCUUACCUGGCAGGAGAGAUACUGUGACACAAAGAUGAUUUUCCAGGGCGAGGCUCAUCCAUUGCCCUCCAGGUGGGCUGACCCUGCGGGUUCUCCAAAGGUGGGAGCUCAACUGUACAACUGGUGGGGGUGGCGGACUACGUUGUGCUCUCCCCUA